AGGUGGGUCUGAGAGCUGCUGUGGAACUGAAGACCAGGAGUUGCCUACGUUAACCGGAGGACUGAGAUGCUCUGAUCAGCCUGCCUGCUGAGGCAGUGGUUACAGCUCGAGUAGCAUACGGCACUGGAGUAAAUCCACAUUCUCUACUUCUUUCUCAUAAGCUUGAAAAUAAAUGGAUACUGCUGAGUGCUAGAGAGCCCUCUUCUGCUGGGUGCUGUACACACACUGUGCAAAAGGAGGAUGUUGCCGUGAAGAGUUUCUAGCCUGAGCAGUGGACAAGAGACUUGUGUUUUUAAGGGGGCAGAAGAAACAACAAGACUUAUACUAGGGAGCAUAGCGGAACAGCAAUUUUGGAGUGCUGCCAGCUGAAGAUCAGCCCCUGUAGACAUCACACCUCACACCUGAAGAGAGACCAGAAAGAGGUUCCCGAUGCUCACAUUAAUUAAAAGGCCUAACAUUCACAUCAUUCAUUCACAUUAUUGUUAGUAGCAUUCCUACUGCACGAAAUGUGUCCUGUCUUUCUCCGCUGUAUUGUGAAAAACAGUGACCUAAAAGGAGCUUCCAGAUGCAGAG
rnacentral:lncRNA from 1 species